rnacentral:rRNA from 1 species
UACGUAGGGUGCAAGCGUUAAUCGGAAUUACUGGGCGUAAAGCGUGCGCAGGCGGUUUUGUAAGUCUGACGUGAAAUCCCCGGGCUUAACCUGGGAAUUGCGUUGGAGACUGCAAGGCUGGAGUCUGGCAGAGGGGGGUAGAAUUCCACGUGUAGCAGUGAAAUGCGUAGAUAUCCGGAGGAACACCGGUGGCGAAGGCAGCCCCCUGGGUCGACACUGACGCUCAGGCACGAAAGCGUGGGGAGCAAACAGG